UACCAGCACCCCGAGUGGUCGGGACGAUUAUUGGGCCUAAAGCAUCCGUAGCCGGUUUUACAAGUCCUCCGUUAAAUCCAGCUGCUUAACAGAUGGGCUGCGGAGGAUACUAUAAGACUAGGAGGCAGGAGAGGCAAGCGGUACUCAGUGGGUAGGGGUAAAAUCCGUUGAUCCAUUGAAGACCACCAGUGGCGAAGGCGGCUUGCCAGACUGCGCUCGACGGUGAGGGAUGAAAGCUGGGGGAGCAAACCGG
rnacentral:rRNA from 1 species